rnacentral:rRNA from 1 species
UACGAAGGGUGCAAACGUUGCUCGGAAUUAUUGGGCGUAAAGCGCACGUAGGCGGCAUUGCAAGUCGGAUGUGAAAUCUUAUGGCUUAACCAUAAAAGUGCAUCCGAAACUGCAGUGCUUGAGUACUUAAGAGGAUCGCGGAAUUCCCGGUGUAGAGGUGAGAUUCGUAGAUAUCGGGAGGAACACCAGUGGCGAAGGCGGCGAUCUGGGCCGAUACUGACGCUGAGGAGCGAAAGCGUGGGGAGCGAACAGG